GAUGAACGCUAGCGGGAGGCCUAACACGUGCAAGCCGAGCGGUAUUUGUUCUUCGGAACAGAGAGAGCGGCGCACGGGUGCGGAACACGUGUGCAACCUGCCUUUAUCUGGGGGAUAGCCUUUCGAAAGGAAGAUUAAUACCCCAUAAUAUAUUGAGUGGCAUCAUUUGAUAUUGAAAACUCCGGUGGAUAGAGAUGGGCACGCGCAAGAUUAGAUAGUUGGUGAGGUAACGGCUCACCAAGUCAAUGAUCUUUAGGGGGCCUGAGAGGGUGAUCCCCCACACUGGUACUGAGACACGGACCAGACUCCUACGGGAGGCAGCAGUGAGGAAUAUUGGACAAUGGGUUAGCGCCUGAUCCAGCCAUCCCGCGUGAAGGACGACGGCCCUAUGGGUUGUAAACUUCUUUUGUAUAGGGAUAAACCUACUCUCGUGAGAGUAGCUGAAGGUACUAUACGAAUAAGCACCGGCUAACUCCGUG
rnacentral:rRNA from 1 species